GUGCUUGCUUCGGCAGCACAUACACUAAAAUUGGAAUCAUACAGCGAUUAGCACAGCCCUGCCCAAGGAUGACCUGAAAAUUUGUGCAGCAUUCCUUAUUUAU
ensembl:snRNA U6 U6 spliceosomal RNA